GGAUGCGAUCAUACCAGCACUAAAGCACCGGAUCCCAUCAGAACUCCGAAGUUAAGCGUGCUUGGGCGAGAGUAGUACUAGGAUGGGUGACCUGAUGGGAAGUCCUCGUGUUGCAUUCC
rnacentral:rRNA from 2 species